rnacentral:lncRNA from 12 species
AUGCUCGCACAACAGAAGCAGCUCCCUGCCCGUCUGGGCACCACGGACCAUCUUGAAAAGCUAGGAGACAAGAAGACGCCAUCCAAGCUAGGUGGCUGGUGGUCUAGAUUUAGCUUGGGUACAACUCAGAAACAUCAAAUCUGGAGAACUGACAGAGCUGACUCUAACGGCAGGUCACUAAUAGGCAUGCUGGUCCCAGAGAAGGGGCAUUGGCACCCCAGGUUUGCUGAUCACUUUUAUCCUCUUUGUGGAAGAAACUGUGUGCGGGGAGCUCCUGCCCGGCCUGUGCUCUUUGUCAAGGACUCAGCGUGCAGAGCACCAACGAAGAGGGCCUCCCCUUCACGUUCCUGCUGUGCCUCACCCUCCAUCCUCCCAUCCUUGGUCACACUGCCCCCACCCUCCCCAUCCCUGGCCACGUGUGUUCCCCCUACCAUCCUCCCUGUCCCUGACCAUGACCUGGGGGGCCCAGGGGUGACCAGGGCUCGGUAGGGACUGAGGCCACAGAGGGCUGAGAUGGGUAAGCCGUGUGCUUGCUGAGCAGAGCGCCCCCAGCCCAUUGACAGGAUCCUCACUCAGCCAGUCUCCUGGGAUACCUGGUGCUCUCCCCACAAUUUCUGUGAAUCCCUGUCCUUGAGUCACUGUGGUUCCCAAUCUUCCCUUUUUUCUGUCCCUUCCCGUUGAUCCUUACUACCCACUUCACAGCCCAGGGAUGCGGACUGUCUUGUCCUAGAAAAUGUAACUGGCAAUUCAGGGAUUUAUAGGAAGAGAGUUUUAUUGCAGGUUAAAACAGUGAAUCUAUUAAAACCCAAUAUUCGGGAUCCCUGGGUGGUGCAGCGGUUUGGUGCCUGCCUUUGGCCCAGGGCGCGAUCCUGGAGACCCGGGAUCGAAUCCCACGUCGGGCUCCCAGUGCAUGGAGCCUGCUUCUCCCUCUGCCUGUGUCUCUGCCUCUCUCUCUCUCUCUGUGACUAUCAUAAAUAAAUAAAAAUUAAAAAAAAAAAACA